AACGAACGCUGGCGGCAGGCUUAACACAUGCAAGUCGAACGCAUCCUUCGGGGUGAGUGGCAGACGGGUGAGUAACGCGUGGGAACGUGCCCUUCAGUUCGGGAUAACCCAGGGAAACUUGGGCUAAUACCGGAUACGUGCGAGAGCAGAAAGAUUUAUCGCUGAAGGAUCGGCCCGCGUCUGUUUAGCAAGUUGGUGGGGUAAUGGCCCACCAAGGCGACGAUCAGUAGCUGGUCUGAGAGGAUGAUCAGCCACAUUGGGAGUGGGACACGGCCCAAACUACUACGGGAGGCAGCAGUGGGGAAUAUUGGAGAAUGGGCGCAAGCCUGAUCCAGACAUGCCGCGUGAGUGAUGAAGGCCUUAGGGUUGUAAAGCUCUUUCGUCCGGGACGAUAAUGACGGUACCGGAAGAAGAAGCCCCGGCUAACUUCGUGCCAGCCGCCGCAGUAA
rnacentral:rRNA from 1 species